rnacentral:rRNA from 1 species
ACUCAAAUGAAUAGACGGGGGCUCACACCAGCGGUGGAGCAUGUGGCUUAAUUCGAGGCUACGCGAAGAACCUUAUCCCAGACUUGACAUGUGCGGAUUAGCCCUGGGAAACCAGGGUGACGCCCGCAAGGGUGGAACGCACACAGGUGCUGCAUGGCUGUCGUCAGCUCGUGUUGUGAGAUGUCGGGUUAAGUCCCUUAACGAGCGAAACCCUUGUCCUUAGUUACCAGCGGGUCAAGCCGGGCACUCUAAGGAGACUGCCGGUGUCAAGCCGGAGGAAGGCGGGGAUGACGUCAAGUCCUCAUGGCCCUUAUGUUUGGGGCUGCACACGUGCUACAAUGGGGGGUACAAAGGGAAGCGUGCCCGUAAGGGUUUGCCAAUCCCCAAAAGCCUCCCCCAGUUCGGAUUGCGGGCUGCAACCCGCCCGCAUGAAGUUGGAAUCGCUAGUAAUCGCGGGUCAGCCAUACCGCGGUGAAUGUGUUCCUGAGCCUUGUACACACCGCCCGU